CCAGUUUCCAAAACCCGUUCGGAAUUCUGAGUACUUCUCCCUCUUCCUGAUCACACUCUAUCGCCUGCGAUCAGACCGCUGUGACUUUCAGCAACUCUCUUCCUCAAUCUAAUCCGGCGAAAAUGAUAUCGCCGGAGCUCCAAGCGCGACCGUUUCGACCUUAUAUAGCAUCCUCUGCUAGUGCCCCUUCUUUCUCUUCCUUCAAUAAUGGCCGCCCUUACUCCCCUGACCCAAACCCUAGUCCUAACAGCCACUUCCAUUCCCCAUCUUCUUCUUCCUCCGCUUCUUCUAGAUCUCGUUUCUUGCCUUCUUCAUUCGCUCACAACACCAGAAUUGCCAUCGCUCUCGUCCCCUGCGCUGCCUUCCUUCUCGACCUCGGCGGGGCCCCCGUUGUGGCUACCCUGACCCUUGGCCUCAUGGUCGCUUACAUUCUGGAUUCCCUCAACCUCAAGUCCGCGGCAUUCUUCGGAGUCUGGCUCUCGCUAAUCGCAGCUCAGAUCGCUUUCUUCUUCAGCUCCUCUCUCAUUACCACUUUCUAUUCUGUCCCUCUCGGCCUCCUCGCUGCUUUCCUAUGCGCCUACGCUAAUUUCCUAAUCGGAGUAUGGGCUUCCCUCCAGUUCAAGUGGAUCCAGCUCGAGAACCCCACUAUCGUCCUUGCUCUCGAGCGCCUGUUGUUUGCCUGUGUCCCUUUCACCGCUUCAGCCCUCUUCAGCUGGGCCACCAUCUCCGCCGUUGGAAUGAAUAAUGCUUCUUACUAUCUCAUGGCCUUCAAUUGCAUUUUCUAUUGGCUUUUUGCAAUUCCUCGGGUCUCUUCCUUCAAAUCCAAACAGGAAGCGAAAUAUUACGGUGGAGAGGUUCCCGAUGACAAUUUCAUACUCACUCAUCUCGACAGUUGUGUUCAUACUUUAAACUUGCUCUUCUUUCCUUUGGUGUUUCAUAUUGCGUC
rnacentral:misc_RNA from 1 species